GCAAGUCGAACGAGAACGGAUUACAGCUUGCUGUAAUUGUCAGCUAAGUGGCGCACGGGUGAGUAAUAUAUAGUUAACCUGCCUCAAAGAAGAGAAUAAUUGUUGGAAACGACUUGUAAUGCUCUAUAUGCCUUUAUCACAAAAGUGAGCAAGGGAAAUAUUUAUAGCUUUGAGAUGGGACUGUACGGUAUCAGUUUGUUGGUGAGGUAAUGGCCUACCAAGGCGACGAUCUCUAGCUGGUUUGAGAGGAUGAUC
rnacentral:rRNA from 1 species